UUGAAAGAGUUCGAGGUUUUUUGACUUUUUUCCUUUCUCUUUAGGCAAUCGCUUCCAACUUAAAGAACAAAAUGUUGCCGUGUUUUAUAUAUCUCUCCCCUCCCCCCCUCGCGAGUUGUUCAAAGAAUUCCUACACCUAAAUCACUGACCAUUGCCCAUUCCUCUCCGUGGAAGAGGGAUAUUUCACUAAAGCUAAACUGCUCGAGCGAGAAUCUUCCUCUUGCCCACCCCCUGACACCCAGAGAUCUUGAAUUUUCAAAAGAAAUGAAAAUCUGAGCUGUAUUUUUUCUUGCUUUCGUGUAUCUAGAAAGUGAAAUUCCCACCUAUGCUUUGGGGAGGGAGGAGGGGAAGGGGGGAGAAAAGAGUGAAAAAAGUGUGGAUAAGUGAUAUUUUGGAGCAAAAGCAUGCAGUUCAAAAGCUAAAGCUCCCAUUGGAGAACAGAAAAUUUAAUGAGCUUUUAAUGGAAUGCAAUGCUCAGAGUAGUAAAUUAUUUGUUAGUUGGCGAUGCAAUCAGCAUGCUGAUUAAGGUUGCUUGGUUUUUUUACUAAACAUUAACUGAAUCAAAACGGUUAGUCCUUGUUGUUCUGCUUGGGGGGCUUUCAUGGAGCAAAUGGACUUUCAGAGCAGAGAUUGUCAAUAAAGAUCUACAGUUCAGAUGAGGAUGGCAACCAGGACGCAUGGCACCUAGCUGAGAUACAGAACUCAAGGAGGAUCUGGGCCCUGAUCCUAAGAGGUGGAUCUAGUCUGCUGUAACUACUCAGGUCGAUUUGGGACCCAUCACAGGCCACAGUGGUUUUUUUGGACUCUAGGCUUCUCAAGCUUGAGUCCACUAGAAGGGCUUGUGGUCUGCAGCUGCUGUAGCCCACCACGAUGAUGUUGUCUCCAAGGGAACCAUUUUGUGAGACUCAAAAUAUUUAGAGUUUCUUUUUCUGCUUGCACUUGCACUGCAGCUUCUGGAAUGAUAGCACAGACUCAGUCACCAAAGAUUGAAAGUGGUUAUUGGCUCCUUCUUGGAAAGUGCUCUUACUAUAAAUAUUGAUAGAUGCUUUUCAACCAAUUAUUAGAGUUUUGUCAGUAGCGAUGAACUAAUAAAAAUGUGUAGGUAGCAUAUUCAUAUGGGAAGCUUAAUAUUCUUUUUUUUAGUUACUACAGGUGAAACAGUACUAUAUUUUGAAAUUUGCUUAAUUUAGCUCAUUGAUUAUUCUUAUAAUGUGCUUUACUGUGUUACUUCUUAAAAAAGAAAAACAACCUCCCCCUUGAUGAUUUCCAAUUUUAUCUUCUUUUGCUUAGCAGCUGUUGCUGCUGUUGAAGAACACAUCUGUCUCAGGAAGAGACUGUUUGAGAUCAUCCUCAAAUAAAUGGAACAUGGGGCUCUGCAAAAUGUAUCUUGCAACAGCAGAUGUAUCUGCCAGGUCGCUGCUCAGCAAUGUCCUUACUUAUUUGUAUUUACUCAAUACGGAUAACAUUUUUGUACAAGAUGUCUCAAUAUUUGCUGUUUAUAAUAUGAAAAGCUUUUGACAAACACAUCUGUCCUGUCACAUCAUCAAGUUGCUCUCCCCUUAGCCAAAAACAAUUAUGAUAUUUCCAGCUUAAAUGUCACAUAGCUGCUAGUCUCAUCCUGGGAGGAAGCAGACACUGCAACAUGCAAUUAAUACUGUUGACAUGAAAAGGGCCAUAAUAAAGAAAAAAAGUCAGCAUUCCAUUGAAGUUAUUUUAGAAGCUCAUUCUUUUUAUAGUGGUGUUGCAAGAACUCAGGUAUAGAAAAUACAUCCAAGAUAACAUGACUAUGUCAUUUUGCCUUGUAAAAUUUAAAAUGUAAAAUUUUGAGGAAGAAAAACAAAGCAUUUUUCCCCCAAGUCUUCUCUUUUUGAAGUCUAAGCAUAUAAUAUUUCCUGCAUUCUAUUCAUACUGAUUUUUAUUAUUUCUGUUUAGAUCCAUUUCUCUGUUCUUGUUCAUGUUUACAAGCAGAGUCAAUGUACAACAGGCUGCAAAAACCCACAUAAGAAUAGUUAGUAUAAUGUAAUCUCUGAGUGUGAUACCAUAACUACGGAUAUUAAAACAUUUAUGAAGUGGAGGUCAUUGUUUAUCCAUCUAUAAUUUUCUGACCCAAAUGGUUUGCAGACACUAAAGUGCUGUAGAGGAAGGGGAAGGAAGGGAAGAAGGAAAAUAAUGUAAUUUUGCUAUAUUUGUCUUGAUCUGCUCUUAUUUUUCUUAUAGGUACAGUAUGCAUGCUUUCCUAAUUAUAGAAUACAAAACUCAGCUCAAAUUCUGGAUGGAAAAAUAAUUUCUUAUUUUUGCAUAGUUGUAUUUCCUAGUGCCCAUAUAAUGACGUUUAAUAUAAUAGGUCUGGAGCCGAGACCAAUAUGUUAAGGAACUGUGGAGGGAUCAGAAAAGUAAACGGAAAAAAUCCUUUCCAGUGACAUGUCCACUAUGAAGAGUUUUCAGCCUCUGAAAAAGGAAAAUGAUCACAUACAGUGCAAGGAAAUCACACUGGACACACGGAAAAAAAAUAAAGAGGAGACUUCAAGCACUUUCAUCCUUAUUAAGACCCACCUCCAUAAUAAAGGAAUCAGGACAACAAGCAAAAAA